CGAGUAAGCCAGACAAUCGCUGCUGUAGUUUACUACAGAAGAGGAAAGUCCGAGCUCCAUAGGGCAGGGUGCUGGGUAACUCCCAGUGGAGGCGACUCUAAGGAAAGUGCAACAGAGAUAUACCGCCAAGUUUACUUGGUAAGGGUGGAAAGGCGAGGUAAGAGCUCACCAGCGCAUUGGCGACUUUGCGGCUAUGUAAACCCCAUCUGGAGCAAGAUCGAAUAGGAAGACAUUAUGGGGCUGCCCGUCCCGUCUUCGGGUGUAUCGCUUGAGCAUAUUGGAAACAAUAUGCCUAGAUAGAUGAUUGUCUAAUACAGAACUCGGCUUAUAGACUUAGUCGUAUA
rnacentral:RNase_P_RNA from 2 species